rnacentral:rRNA from 1 species
AUUGAACGCUGGCGGCAUGCUUUACACAUGCAAGUCGAACGGCAGCGCGGGCUUCGGCCUGGCGGCGAGUGGCGAACGGGUGAGUAAUGCAUCGGAACGUGCCCAGUAGUGGGGGAUAGCCCGGCGAAAGCCGGAUUAAUACCGCAUACGACCUGAGGGUGAAAGCGGGGGACCGAAAGGCCUCGCGCUAUUGGAGCGGCCGAUGUCGGAUUAGCUAGUUGGUGGGGUAAAGGCUUACCAAGGCGAUGAUCCGUAGCUGGUCUGAGAGGACGACCAGCCACACUGGGACUGAGACACGGCCCAGACUCCUACGGGAGGCAGCAGUGGGGAAUUUUGGACAAUGGGGGCAACCCUGAUCCAGCCAUGCCGCGUGCGGGAAGAAGGCCUUCGGGUUGUAAACCGCUUUUGUUCGGGAAGAAAUCCUCUGGGCUAAUACCCCGGGGGGAUGACGGUACCGGAAGAAUAAGCACCGGCUAACUACGUG